CAGGUCCAAAAACUAAAAAUCAAACCAAAGAAAAAAACCCCACUACUCACAUUCCUCAGCAUUUUCACAAAAGAUCUGAAAUUGUUGUCACUAACAAGAUUCUCAAGAAAACCCUAACCCUAACUGCCGCAAUCACCUCCCACCGCACUCUCACCACCGCCACGCUCUAAAUCGAGGGAAUUGGGACUAGAGAGGCCAGAGGAAGAUCAUUCCAUUGCUCCAAUUGUUGUAUUGGCUGGUAAGUCGGUCUGGAUUGGAGCCGUUUUAUGGGGAGAUUUGAAUAAGGUUACUGUUGGAUUAUGUUCGAAUAUGCAGGAGAAAUGUGUUUUUCAUGCCGCUUGGUCAUCUCCUACAGAUGGAGGUGCGGAGGUGCAUGAACCAAGGAGGUUAUUGUGGUUCAUUUGAUCUUUCUGGCGAAAUCCCCAAAAGCUUUGGACAAGUUAACAAACCUCACCACCUUAGAUUUAUCAAGCAGCAUGUUUUUUUUUUUUUUUUUUUUUUUUUUGCGAGAUACCUGUGGAAUUAGGUGGUUCAUUGAGAUUGCAAGGACUGUAUUUGGGGAAUAAUAACCUUCACCGAUGGCAUACUCGACAAACUCUGUCAACCCAGAGGUUUAGUGAAGCUUAAAAUGACUGGGAAUAAGCUCUCAGGCUUGAUACCCGCCACAUAGUAUAAUCAAAAACUGACCUCUUAAUCUUACUUUCUUUCACUAUUGGCAAUAAGAGAUUAAUGAUGUGAUCGCUUAUUGUUGGAUGUGAUCAGUCGAGUUGUGUAUCUCUUAUUCAAGAUAUCCGUAAGCAUUUCAAGCAGCUUACAAAGUGAAGCAAAUGCUGAAAAAUACAGGGAUUUACGCCCUCUUCUACAUCUUCUUCAAAAACUAUGCACAAGAGAUAUGAAUGCUUUGCUCUUAACGGAUUACACAUACCUGAGUAAUGAUAGCAGUUUCUUAGUGGACCAUUGAAGGCGGUGUAGAAGUUGUGGUGCAGGAAAACUUUGCUUCAACCAAUAAACGGAUGAGUCAAGAUGAAGCUGAAAAGGCAUCAUACACUCAUACUCACCACCCACUUCUGACAUUGAUCAAACCGAUUCAUCUAAGCCAAGUUUACGCUUUGAGGCUCAGUGAGUGGACUUUGCUUGUGGAGCGAUUUCUGCCAAGACAGAUUGCUACAACUCCUGACACGAUAAAGUGGGAUUUGAAUAUACAUGAGCAUGAUCUUUUGAUGGAAACUCUGACAAAAGAAGAUGCCAGCAAUUCGAGCAUGUGGGUUUGCUGGUGCUGCUAGGGGUGAUGUAGGUUCUGUUGUAGUUGUUGUAUCAUUUGUGGAUAUGUUUUUGUUAGUAAUUUAUUUCUUUAGUAUUUAAAUUGAAAACUUAUGUAUGGAUUUUGGUUUCUUAUCGCUAAUAUUAUUUGCUUUUAGUUUU
rnacentral:lncRNA from 1 species